AAGAAAAGUCUGGGACAAGAGAAAUUGCUAAUUUCCCCAUCCAUGGUUCAAAUCCACGGUUUUCUUA
rnacentral:tRNA from 1 species